rnacentral:rRNA from 1 species
GUAGUUAGCCGUGUCUUGCUCCUAUGGUACCAUCAUUUGUUUUUUCCCAUAGAACAGAAGUUUACAAUCCGAAAACCUUCAUCCUUCACGCGGCGUUGCUGGGUCAGAGUUUCCUCCAUUGCCCAAUAUUCCUAACUGCUGCCUCCCGUAGGAGUCUGGACCGUGUCUCAGUUCCAGUGUGGCCGAUCAGCCUCUCAGCUCGGCUACCCAUCGUUGGCUAGGUGGGCCGUUACCCCGCCUACUACCUAAUGGGACGCGAACCCCUCCUUCUGCGGAUUGCUCCUUUGACCCCUGAGCCAUGCGACUCUGUGGUCUUAUGCGGUAUUAGCACUUGUUUCCAGGUGUUAUCCCCCUCAAAAGGGCAGGUUGUUCACGCGUUACUCACCCGUUCGCCACUAGCUAUAAAUCCGAAAACCUAUAGCCCGUUCGACUUGCAUGUGUUAGGCACGCCGCCAGCGUUCGUCCUGAGCCAGGAUCAAACUCUGA